rnacentral:pre_miRNA from 7 species
CUUCAGAGACGUGGGUGGUCGCACCAAUCCCGGGACAAGCCCCCAAAUGAAAGACUCCAAGAGGAGCCCCUCGCUCAGGCCUCGGGACAAUAGCAGACACCCAAGAACUCACAAGAGACC